rnacentral:rRNA from 1 species
UAAAGAAAGUAAGAAAGGGCGUAUGGCGGAUGCCUAGGCUCACGGAGGCGAUGAAGGACGUGAUAAGCUGCGAUAAGCUUCGGGUAGGUGCAAAUAACCCUUGAUCCGGAGAUUUCCGAAUGGGACAACCUAGCCGUCUGAAGGACGGUUACUCUUGCCAAUGUAAGAGAGCUAACGCAGGGAACUGAAACAUCUUAGUACCUGCAGGAAGAGAAAAUAAAUGAAUGAUUCCCCCAGUAGUGGCGAGCGAACGGGGAACAGCCCAAACCGUUGACGUCGCAAGGCGCCAGCGGGGUUGUAGGACCGCGACAUUGUAUGCAAAUCGUGAACAGAACACUUUGGAAAAUGUGACCAUAGACGGUGAUAGUCCAGUAUGUGAAGCGAAAUGCAGCAUAGCGGUAUCCUGAGUAACGCGGGACACGAGGAAUCCUGCGCGAAUCUGCCG